GACGAACGCUGGCGGCGUGCUUAACACAUGCAAGUCGAACGGAAAGGCCCUGCUUUUGUGGGGUGCUCGGGUGGCGAACGGGUGAGUAACACGUGAGUAACCUGCCCUUGACUUUGGGAUAACUUCAGGACACUGGGGCUAAUACCGGAUAGGAGCUCCUGCUGCAUGGUGGGGGUUGGAAAGUUUCGGCGGUUGGGGAUGGACUCGCGGCUUAUCAGCUUGUUGGUGGGGUAGUGGCUUACCAAGGCUUUGACGGGUAGCCGGCCUGAGAGGGUGACCGGCCACAUUGGGACUGAGAUACGGCCCAGACUCCUACGGGAGGCAGCAGUGGGGAAUAUUGCACAGUGGGCGGAAGCCUGAUGCAGCAACGCCGCGUGCGGGAUGACGGCCUUCGGGUUGUAAAGCGCUUUCGCCUGUGACGAAGCGUGGUUGACGGUAAUGGGUAAAGAAGCACCGGCUAACUACGUG
rnacentral:rRNA from 1 species